UAUCGGAUAGCUUAUCAGACUGAUGUUGACUGUUAGAUCUCCUGGCAACAGCAGUCGAUGGGCUGUCUGACA
rnacentral:pre_miRNA from 13 species